rnacentral:rRNA from 1 species
AUUAAACGCUGGCGGCAUGCCUUACACAUGCAAGUCGAACGGCAGCACGGGGGCAACCCUAGUGGCGAGUGGCGAACGGGUGAGUAAAGCAUCGGAACGUGCCCUGGAGUGGGGGAUAACGUAGCGAAAGUUACGCUAAUACCGCAUAUUCUGUGAGCAGGAAAGCAGGGGAUCGCAAGACCUUGCGCUCUGGGAGCGGCCGAUGUCGGAUUAGCUAGCUGGUGGGGUAAAGGCCUACCAAGGCGACGAUCCGUAGCGGGUCUGAGAGGAUGAUCCGCCACACUGGGACUGAGACACGGCCCAGACUCCUACGGGAGGCAGCAGUGGGGAAUUUUGGACAAUGGGCGAAAGCCUGAUCCAGCCAUGCCGCGUGAGUGAAGAAGGCCU